CUUUGCACAGAAGUUCAGUAACUAAAUUUCCUUUGGCGUAGCCGGUUGUGCUUGGACGUGUGGUGAUUAGUCAUGCAUUAGUUUUAAAAGUUAUUUCGAGUUUGUGGAGUGCACAUAUAUAUCAGCGUUAAUUUUUUUACUCAACUGCAAUGCUAAUGUUAUUGUAUUAAAUGUAGCCGAGUUCGAGAAUUUCAACCUAAUCGAAGCAAAAGUGCCAAUAUUGCGCUUCAGGGAUCGUAUUCAUCAGCUGGAAGUGGAUUUGAAUUUCAAUAACUGCGUUGGAAUCAAAAACACGCAUUUACUCUAUUGCUAUUCUCAACUUGAUUGGCGAUUACGUCCUAUGGUAUUAGUUACAAAACUGUGGGCACAAUAUCACAACAUUAACAAUGCCAAAAAUAUGACAAUAUCGAGCUAUUCUUUGGUUCUCAUGGUAAUACACUUUUUGCAGUACGCUGUCAGCCCAGCGGUGCUCCCAUGUUUGCAUGAGUUGUUCCCUGACAAGUUCACCUUGCUGCGAUCAAAUGACUUUGGAUACGUGGACAUGAACGAGACCAUUGGGUCAUAUGAAUCAAAAAAUACGCAAUCUAUCGGUGAACUUUUUCUGUAUUUUCUAGAAUAUUAUAGUUGUUUCGAUUACGCUCAGUUUGCAAUCUCAAUUCGUACUGGUGGUAUCCUGCCAAUUAAUGUCUGUCGUCUAGCGAAGUCGUCGAAAAAUGAUAUCCACCAAUGGAAGGAGCUCUGUAUUGAAGAACCUUUUGAUUUAACAAAUACAGCAAGGUCGGUGUAUGAUUUCGAAACUUUUGAACGUGUCAAAGCAGUAUUUAUGGCUUCGUGGCGAAUGCUGCAACAAACACUUGAUCUAAACGCUAUUUUUGCACCAAUCAUCUUACCAGCACUUCAUCAUAUUGUUUCUCCAUUGAGUCACACUGUCCUACAAUAUGAAGAUUCCAAUGUUAGCACGGCAUCGGAGAUUUCAACAAGAGAAAACACUACACAUGGUUCAGAUCAAAAUAGCGGUACAAAUCCAUCUCCGACUGUUACACUGCUUGCUUUAACAAAUGAAUCGAAUAAGCAUGCUUCUAAAGAAAUCAACAACAACAACAGCGGAAAUAGUAACACUGUUGGUGGAUCACGGACUGAGCUGGUUUCUUGAGUUUAAAAAAGGUACAUCAACCCAAUGAACCAUUUGAUGGAUAUUCGCAUAACGUCCGCUUGUAUUUCUUCUGGAUAAUCGUCCUCGUCGUCAUCCAUAUUUUCUAAAUUCUCAGUCGCACAUGUUUCACCGAUAUCCUCACAAUACAAUAAUUCCUUUAGUUCUGGUGGCAGCGUUAAACGCUUGCUUUGGCGCACACGUGUAUUUAAGCGAAGAGAUGAAAUUAAUGGAUCCGAUCAAGAGCUCUAUGAAAUACAUCGAAAAGAUUAUCAAUGCGGCUAGUCUUACGUGCAUGGUGCAGUCUGUCGCUUUUAUAUAUUUUGUUUCGUGACCCAGCUGCAUCCUCUCCGAAGUAACCAACAGGAAGUGGUGUAUUCUAGGGAUGCAAGUCAAAAAAAUACAUCGAUAUUUUUUUCGAUACGAUGCAUCGAAAUGUUGCAUC